rnacentral:rRNA from 1 species
AACGCGAAGAACCUUACCAGGUCUUGACAUCCCGAUGCUAUUCCUAGAGAUAGGAAGUUUCUUCGGAACAUCGGUGACAGGUGGUGCAUGGUUGUCGUCAGCUCGUGUCGUGAGAUGUUGGGUUAAGUCCCGCAACGAGCGCAACCCCUAUUGUUAGUUGCCAUCAUUAAGUUGGGCACUCUAGCGAGACUGCCGGUAAUAAACCGGAGGAAGGUGGGGAUGACGUCAAAUCAUCAUGCCCCUUAUGACCUGGGCUACACACGUGCUACAAUGGUUGGUACAACGAGUCGCGAGUCGGUGACGGCAAGCAAAUCUCUUAAAGCCAAUCUCAGUUCGGAUUGUAGGCUGCAACUCGCCUACAUGAAGCUGGAAUCGCUAGUAAUCGCAGAUCAGAAUGCUGCGGUGAAUACGUUCCCGGGUCUUGUACACACCG